GGCCAGAUAAGGCGUUCACGCCGCCAUCCGGCAUUGAAGUGCCUGAUGGCGACGCUGGCGCGUUUUAUCAGGCC
rfam:Escherichia coli ISC11, WGS project CBWP01000000 data, contig: c20